GAUGAAGAACGCAGCGAAAUGCGAUAAGUAAUGUGAAUUGCAGAAUUCAGUGAAUCAUCGAAUCUUUGAACGCACAUUGCGCCCGCCAGUAUUCUGGCGGGCAUGCCUGUUCGAGCGUCAUUUCAACCAUCAAGCCCCCGGCUUGUGUUGGGGACCUGCGGCUGCCGCAGGCCCUGAAAACCAGUGGCGGGCUCGCUAGUCACUCCGAGCGUAGUAACUCUACAUCGCUAUGGUCGUGCGGCGGGUUCUUGCCGUAAAACCCCCAAUUUUUUAAGGUUGACCUCGGAUCAGGUAGGAAUACCCGCUGAACUUAAGCAUAUCAAUAAGCGGAGGA
rnacentral:misc_RNA from 1 species